UGAUUGUCCAAACGCAAUUCUUGUGUCUGCCUCCAUGAAACCAGGAGUUGUGGAUGGACAUC
ensembl:miRNA